UACGAAGGGGGCUAGCGUUGCUCGGAAUCACUGGGCGUAAAGCGUGCGCAGGCGGUGAUGUAAGACAGUUGUGAAAUCCCCGGGCUCAACCUGGGAACUGCAUUUGUGACUGCACAGCUUGAGUGCGGCAGAGGGGGAUGGAAUUCCGCGUGUAGCAGUGAAAUGCGUAGAUAUGCGGAGGAACACCGAUGGCGAAGGCAAUCCCCUGGGCCUGCACUGACGCUCAUGCACGAAAGCGUGGGGAGCAAACAGG
rnacentral:rRNA from 1 species